rnacentral:tRNA from 1 species
GGCCUCGUAGCUCAGCUGGUAGAGCGUGCGUAUAAAAAGCGUGGGUUAGAGUCCAACCGAGGCUA